AGAGUUUGAUCCUGGCUCAGGACGAACGCUGGCGGCGUGCCUAAUACAUGCAAGUAGAACGCUGAGGUUUGGUGUUUACACUAGACUGAUGAGUUGCGAACGGGUGAGUAACGCGUAGGUAACCUGCCUCAUAGCGGGGGAUAACUAUUGGAAACGAUAGCUAAUACCGCAUAAGAGUAAUUAACACAUGUUAGUUAUUUAAAAGGAGCAAUUGCUUCACUGUGAGAUGGACCUGCGUUGUAUUAGCUAGUUGGUGAGGUAAAGGCUCACCAAGGCGACGAUACAUAGCCGACCUGAGAGGGUGAUCGGCCACACUGGGACUGAGACACGGCCCAGACUCCUACGGGAGGCAGCAGUAGGGAAUCUUCGGCAAUGGACGGAAGUCUGACCGAGCAACGCCGCGUGAGUGAAGAAGGUUUUCGGAUCGUAAAGCUCUGUUGUUAGAGAAGAACGUUGGUAGGAGUGGAAAAUCUACCAAGUGACGGUAACUAACCAGAAAGGGACGGCUAACUACGUGCCAGCAGCCGCGGUAAUACGUAGGUCCCGAGCGUUGUCCGGAUUUAUUGGGCGUAAAGCGAGCGCAGGCGGUUCUUUAAGUCUGAAGUUAAAGGCAGUGGCUUAACCAUUGUACGCUUUGGAAACUGGAGGACUUGAGUGCAGAAGGGGAGAGUGGAAUUCCAUGUGUAGCGGUGAAAUGCGUAGAUAUAUGGAGGAACACCGGUGGCGAAAGCGGCUCUCUGGUCUGUAACUGACGCUGAGGCUCGAAAGCGUGGGGAGCAAACAGGAUUAGAUACCCUGGUAGUCCACGCCGUAAACGAUGAGUGCUAGGUGUUAGGCCCUUUCCGGGGCUUAGUGCCGCAGCUAACGCAUUAAGCACUCCGCCUGGGGAGUACGACCGCAAGGUUGAAACU
rnacentral:rRNA from 1 species